rnacentral:rRNA from 1 species
GAUGAACGCUGGCGGCGUGCUUAACACAUGCAAGUCGAACGAAUUUUGAUGAAGCUUAGCGAUUCAGAAGUUAGUGGCGGACGGGUGAGUAACGCGUGGGUAACCUGCCUUACACUGGGGGAUAACACUUAGAAAUAGGUGCUAAUACCGCAUAAGCGCACAGCUUUGCAUAAAGCAGUGUGAAAAACUCCGGUGGUGUAAGAUGGACCCGCGUCUGAUUAGCUAGUUGGUGAGGUAAUGGCUCACCAAGGCGACGAUCAGUAGCCGGCCUGAGAGGGUGAACGGCCACAUUGGGACUGAGACACGGCCCAAACUCCUACGGGUGGCAG